CACCUCUCGAGGUCGCACCUGGAGAGUUUCCAGUCCUGUCCUCUACCAGUCUCGACUAUGGGAGGGAGAGUCAAGCAGAGACCUGUCCAUUCCAUUCCUAGCUUGGCCAGUGGCUAGUGAGUGGAAGACAAUCUUCUACAAGU
rfam:Ornithorhynchus anatinus chromosome 12, whole genome shotgun sequence.